CAGUGAGAGUACAGAGUGGACCAGGGGGCCUUGGGGGUCUGGGCUUCGGAAAUCCCACCAGCCCGAGAGAGGGGGAGAGCCUGGGCAGGAGGCUGAGAUGGAGCGACCAGAGGGAGGGGAAAAAUCGGCUGAGUCCAUGAAGGGACUGGCCGACAGUGCGUCAUGUGAUUGAGCGACGGUCGUGUAAAAGGGGGAUGUGGACCACCAGGUUGUCACUGGUACCCCAGAAAUUUGAAAGCAGAUACAAAAAUGGAGAGAAGAGUACAGUGAACCUCCACGGCCCAUCACUCUCACCACCACUGACUGCUUCCUCCUCCAAACGCCUCUGACUUGUCCGUGCCUCCCAUCUGGCCGUGAAUAAUGUACUUUCUCAUGAAAUCUGAGUUUCAGCUCCCCCUGAAACCGGCACUGUUUCUGGGCUUUUUCCGUUAUGUGAGCCAAUACAUUUCUUUCUAGACUUCA